AAUCGGAUUUUACCGAUACCCACCAAUGCAUCAUGAUGAAUCUCGAUGUCACCCGUCAAUCGCGCCGUACCCAGUGAAUGAGCCGAUGCACUCGCUUCGCGCACGUGCGCAUCGAUGUAUCGAUUAAUAUCGAUUAUUUUCCACACCCUUAGUCAGGAGAAGACAUAUCGCUGAUGAGUCAAACGGGCCAAAAGAACAAAAAUCUGCAAAGCAAAAAUAUGGGGAAAAAACGUUCCGGUGGCGAAAGGCAGAAUUUGACCCAUCAGGUAUUCCAUUUUUUGAAGAAAGGUUUGGUCAUCAGACCGAAAUGACUGGUUGCCAAUCAUAGGCCACAUAUAAACAAACAACUUGCUCACCGUUACACCAUCACAAAGUGGGAACUGAACCCAGGAAGUUAAGUGAACCACUCCACUAUAGGCUGCCGGGAAGCUUUCGGACAUGGCGGAUGGCUGUGGAUGCAGUGUCUCUACUCAUUAACUUCAUGGUGUCUGACGAUGGUGAACCAGGAUCCAAAAGCAGAAGGCACAGGCUUCCAUUCUUCCGCUGCUCCAAACCUACGAUAGAGCGACUAUGCCCUAGGGGACAGAGUAACGAGGAAACCUUUGACAUAAUAUGGUCACAAAACAUUUGUAAUCUUAAAAUAAGGUUGCUGCGUUUGCCAAGUGGUUGAAUAUGAAUCGACAGUAUGUUCGUCUUUCCAUCCAUUUUACAUAUGGCUUCUAAUUGGGUGAGCUGGAGCUCAUGCACAUGCAGUGGCCAAAUUUUGGGGUGCAGUAUUGCUGUGUGUGUGUGUGUGUACCUUGAUGCUGCAGGUAGAGUGGGGGCACGAAGGUCUGGAUGAUUCUGGGAGGCAAUCUGUUACUCCUGCUAGAUUGACUGAAGUACUGUUUGACCCACUCGAAGAGCCGAGGAUGGGUACCUCCCGGACCCGUUGGCUGG